UACAGAGGGUGCGAGCGUUAAUCGGAAUUACUGGGCGUAAAGCGCGCGUAGGCGGCUUUGCAAGUCGGGUGUGAAAUCCCCAGGCUUAACCUGGGAACUGCAUUCGAGACUGCAUUGCUAGAGUAUGGGAGAGGGAAGUGGAAUUUCCGGUGUAGCGGUGAAAUGCGUAGAUAUCGGAAGGAACAUCAGUGGCGAAAGCGACUGCCUGGACCAAUACUGACGCUCAGGUGCGAAAGCGUGGGGAGCAAACAGG
rnacentral:rRNA from 1 species